GAGCCCGUGGCUCAGUGGUAGAGCGUUCGAUUCACAUUCGAAAGGUCGGUGGUUCAAAUCCACCCGGGCUCA
rnacentral:tRNA from 1 species